rnacentral:misc_RNA from 1 species
AAAGUCGUAACAAGGUAACCGUAGGUGAACCUGCGGUUGGAUCAUUACCAAUCCCAGUUGCAGUAUGCAACUUAAACCCCUGUGCAUCAAAGACGUUUCUGGCAGAACCAGCUGACUGCAACUUGCUUGCGGGCAAGCCAGGCUGCCAAUCACUUGCACACUCUUUGUUAUGUAUGUAUUGUCUGAUGAUUAAUUGUAAAAUUAAAAAACAACUUUUGACAACGGAUCUCUUGGCUCUC